rnacentral:rRNA from 1 species
GACGAACGCUGGCGGCGUGCCUAAUACAUGCAAGUCGAGCGGACUUAAAAAGCUUGCUUUUUAAGUUAGCGGCGGACGGGUGAGUAACACGUGGGCAACCUGCCUGUAAGACUGGGAUAACUUCGGGAAACCGGAGCUAAUACCGGAUAAUCCUUUUCUACUCAUGUAGAAAAGCUGAAAGACGGUUUACGCUGUCACUUACAGAUGGGCCCGCUGCGCAUUAGCUAGUUGGUGAGGUAACGGCUCACCAAGGCGACGAUGCGUAGCCGACCUGAGAGGGGGAUCGGCCACACUGGGACUGAGACACGGCCCAGACUCCUACGGGAGGCAGCAGUAGGGAAUCUUCCGCAAUGGACGAAAGUCUGACGGAGCAACGCCGCGUGAGUGAUGAAGGUUUUCGGAUCGUAAAACUCUGUUGUUAGGGAAGAACAAGUACGAGAGUAACUGCUCGUACCUUGACGGUACCUAACCAGAAAGCCACGGCUAACUACGUG